AGAGUUUGAUCCUGGCUCAGGAUGAACGCUAGCUACAGGCUUAACACAUGCAAGUCGAGGGGCAGCAUGGUCUUAGCUUGCUAAGGCCGAUGGCGACCGGCGCACGGGUGAGUAACACGUAUCCAACCUGCCGUCUACUCUUGGACAGCCUUCUGAAAGGAAGAUUAAUACAAGAUGGCAUCAUGAGUCCGCAUGUUCACAUGAUUAAAGGUAUUCCGGUAGACGAUGGGGAUGCGUUCCAUUAGAUAGUAGGCGGGGUAACGGCCCACCUAGUCUUCGAUGGAUAGGGGUUCUGAGAGGAAGGUCCCCCACAUUGGAACUGAGACACGGUCCAAACUCCUACGGGAGGCAGCAGUGAGGAAUAUUGGUCAAUGGGCGCGAGCCUGAACCAGCCAAGUAGCGUGAAGGAUGAAGGCUCUAUGGGUCGUAAACUUCUUUUAUAUGGGAAUAAAGUUUUCCACGUGUGGAAUUUUGUAUGUACCAUAUGAAUAAGGAUCGGCUAACUCCGUGCCAGCAGCCGCGGUAAUACGGAGGAUCCGAGCGUUAUCCGGAUUUAUUGGGUUUAAAGGGAGCGUAGGCGGAUUAUUAAGUCAGUUGUGAAAGUUUGCGGCUCAACCGUAAAAUUGCAGUUGAUACUGGUAGUCUUGAGUGCAGCAGAGGUAGGCGGAAUUCGUGGUGUAGCGGUGAAAUGCUUAGAUAUCACGAAGAACUCCGAUUGCGAAGGCAGCUUACUGGAUUGUAACUGACGCUGAUGCUCGAAAGUGUGGGUAUCAAACAGGAUUAGAUACCCUGGUAGUCCACACAGUAAACGAUGAAUACUCGCUGUUGGCGAUAUACAGUCAGCGGCCAAGCGAAAGCAUUAAGUAUUCCACCUGGGGAGUACGCCGGCAACGGUGAAACUCAAAGGAAUUGACGGGGGCCCGCACAAGCGGAGGAACAUGUGGUUUAA
rnacentral:rRNA from 1 species